rnacentral:lncRNA from 1 species
UGUGAUAUGUUGUGUUUUUUUUAUUUUACUGUAAAUGAUUUGUUAGCAUUAAAUGCGAUGUACGAUGGUAAAUAUGUCAAAUCUUAGUUGAUUCUUUCUAAAGAGUUUGAAUCUUACGAAAAACGCACUCUCCUAUUUUUCUAUUUGUUUUUAGGAAGCAGUUCUGAUUGGUACAUCACCGAAAGUCCAGCAUUUGGCUCUAGCGAUAAGCCUGCCUGCUUGGCUCACUCGAUUCGAUUAACCAGAAAGUUUACAUUUUUCUACGUA